AGUGAACGCUGGCGGCAGGCCUAACACAUGCAAGUCGAACGGCAGCACAAGAGAGCUUGCUCUCUGGGUGGCGAGUGGCGGACGGGUGAGGAAUGCAUCGGAAUCUGCCCAUUUGUGGGGGAUAACCUCGGGAAACCGGGACUAAUACCGCAUACGACCUACGGGUGAAAGCAGGGGAUCUUCGGACCUUGCGCAGAUGGAUGAGCCGAUGCCGGAUUAGCUAGUUGGAGGGGUAAAGGCCCACCAAGGCGACGAUCCGUAGCUGGUCUGAGAGGAUGAUCAGCCACACUGGGACUGAGACACGGCCCAGACUCCUACGGGAGGCAGCAGUGGGGAACAUUGGACAAUGGGCGCAAGCCUGAUCCAGCCAUGCCGCGUGUGUGAAGAAGGCCUUCGGGUUGUAAAGCACUUUUGUUGGGAAAGAAAAGCAGCCGGUUAAUACCCGGUUGUCAUGACGGUACCCAAAGAAUAAGCACCGGCUAACUUCGUG
rnacentral:rRNA from 1 species